rnacentral:rRNA from 1 species
CGGACAGAGCUGGCGUAUCUGGCCUGUAUUCAGCCGUGCGCUCGCUGGCGUCAGGGAUGCCGCUCUCCAGAUUGGGACGGUGGCCUGUCUGCCGGUGGGUUUGUGGUGCAUUUGCAGGUGGAGUGCGCCGAGGCGCUCGGGUGCAGCGGCAUGAGCCCAGUUUUGAGGCCAGCCUCGCAAGAGGUCUGGUACCCGGACUGUUGGGGAGUGCUGUUUGCCCUGGGUGCACAAAAAGGGUAAUGGUCUCGGGCCCGGGUGGGCGCCGAGCUCGCAGUCGGAGGCGGUCGCAUGCGACACGUGCCAGCGGUCAGUUCGGUCCUGCUCGAGCUCACAUCUGCCCGUCCUCGGUGUAAAAGCCGGUCAUCUGUCCGACCCGUCUUGAAACACGGACCAAGGAGUUUAGCGUGUGCGCGAGUCAUUGGGCGUUGAAAACCCAAAGGCGCAAUGAAAGUGAAGGUCUCCCUUGCGGAGCUGAUGUGUGAUCCCGGGCGCUGCGGUGCCCGGGCGCAACAUAGUCCCGUCCCGACCGCUUGCGGUGGGGCGGAGACAGA